UACGUAGGUGGCAAGCGUUGUCCGGAUUUACUGGGCGUAAAGAGCGCGCAGGCGGUCGGAUUAGUCGCGUGUGAAAGCCCCCGGCUCAACUGGGGAGGGUCACGCGAUACUGUUCGACUCGAAGGCAGGAGAGGGAAGUGGAAUUCCCGGUGUAGUGGUGAAAUGCGUAGAUAUCGGGAGGAACACCAGUGGCGAAGGCGGUUGCCUGGGGCUGUGCUGACGCUGAUGCGCGAAAGCGUGGGGAGCGAUCCGG
rnacentral:rRNA from 1 species